GAACAGUGAGCUCUGCAGUUUGAAGUCGCUCCUGGUUUCGUCGUUGUCCCUAGUUCAUCACUCCGAGGGAGGAAAAUGCCGGUAAUUGAAUUUGAAUUGUGGCCAGAAGUAAACUCGAUCUAUUGUAGUGAACGACGAAGAGUUUUUGUACUAUUGUCAUAUAUGUUUGAAUGCAUUUGGUUUUGUGGAAUUUAUUGAUAGUAGAGAUCUUUAAG